AGUGAACGCUGGCGGUAGGCCUAACACAUGCAAGUCGAACGGCAGCACAGUAAGAGCUUGCUCUUACGGGUGGCGAGUGGCGGACGGGUGAGGAAUACAUCGGAAUCUACUUUUUCGGGGGGGAUAACGUAGGGAAACUUACGCUAAUACAGCAUACGACCUACGGGUGAAAGCAGGGGAACUUCGGACCUUGCGCGAUUGAAUGAGCGGAUGUCGGAUUAGCUAGUUGGCGGGGUAAAGGCCCACCAAGGCGACGAUCCGUAGCUGGACUGAGAGGAUGAUCAGCCACACUGGAACGGAGCCACGCUCCAUACUCCUACGGGAGGCACCAGUGUGGUAUAUUGGACAAUGGGCGCAAGCCUUAUCCAGCCAUACCGCGUGUGUGAAGAAGGCCUUCGGGUUGUAAAGCCCUUUUUUUGGGAAAGAAAAGCAGCCGCUUAAUACCCCGCUGUUCUGACGGUACCCAAAGAAUAAGCACCGGCUAACUUCGUG
rnacentral:rRNA from 1 species